UGGCGGCGAUGGAGCAGGCCGAGGCGCACAACGGCAGCGUGGCCGGCGAGGCUCCCCCGGCGGGGUCGGCCGGGGCCAGGCCGCCCGCCACCCCGGAGGGCAUGGCGCUGGCCUACGGCAGCCUGGUGUUCAUGGCCCUCCUGCCCAUCUUCUUCGGGGCGCUGCGCUCCGUCUCCUGUGCCAAGGGGAAGAAUGCCUCGGACAUGCCAGAGACCAUCACCAGCCGAGACGCUGCCCGCUUUCCUAUCGUUGCCAGCUGCACCCUCCUAGGCCUCUAUCUCUUCUUCAAAAUAUUCUCUCAAGAAUACAUCAACCUGCUGCUCUCCAUGUACUUCUUUGUCCUUGGGAUCUUGGCCCUUUCUCACACCAUCAGCCCUGUGAUGAACAGGUUCUUCCCAGCCAACUUCCCCAACAAACAGUACCAGCUCCUCUUCACUCAGGGCUCAGGGGAAACCAGGGAAGAGAUCGUGAACUAUGAAUUCGACACCAAGGACCUGGUGUGCCUGGCCAUGAGCAGUGUUGUGGGCGUGUGGUACCUGCUGAGGAAGCACUGGAUCGCCAACAACCUCUUCGGGCUGGCCUUCUCUCUCAACGGGGUGGAACUGCUGCACCUGAACAACGUCAGCACCGGCUGCAUUCUGCUUGGCGGCCUCUUCAUCUAUGACGUCUUCUGGGUCUUUGGCACGAAUGUGAUGGUGACGGUGGCCAAGUCAUUCGAGGCGCCCAUAAAACUGGUUUUCCCCCAGGAUCUGCUGGAGAAAGGCUUGGAGGCCGACAACUUCGCCAUGCUGGGCCUGGGAGACAUCGUCAUUCCAGGAAUCUUCAUUGCUCUGCUCUUGCGUUUUGAUAUCAGCCUGAAGAAGAACACGCACACGUACUUCUACACCAGUUUUGUGGCUUACAUUUUUGGGCUGGGGUUCACGAUCUUCAUCAUGCACAUCUUCAAGCACGCCCAGCCGGCUCUGCUGUACCUGGUCCCGGCCUGCAUCGGUUUCCCUCUCCUGGUGGCUCUGGCAAAGGGAGAAGUAGCGGAGAUGUUCAGCUAUGAAUCUUCUGCCGAAAUCUUGCCCCACACCCCGCGGCUCACCCACUUCCCUAACGUCUCCGGGUCUCCAUCCAGCCUGGCUGACUCCAUGCAGCAGACGCUGCCCUGUUCCCACAGACGUCGGCAGCAAACGCCCAGCGCCAUGUAGCCCUGGGGCGAGGCCUCGCCCUGCCUGCCCAUCUCUCUGUGUGUCUCUGCCCAGCUACGAGGAGACCUCCACCCCCAAGGAGGUGCAGGAGGAUGCCAAAGAA